rnacentral:rRNA from 1 species
UACGUAGGAGGCGAGCGUUGUCCGGAGUUACUGGGCGUAAAGCGCACGCAGGCGGUCCGCUAAGUCUCGGGUGACAGUCACCGGCUUAACUGGUGAAGUGUUCGGGAAACUAACGGACUUGAGGGCUUCAGAGGGACACGGAAUUCCGGGGUGGAGUGGUGAAAGUGCGUAGAUAUCCGGAGGAACACCAAAGGCGUAGGCAGUGUCCUGGGA